GUCCCAGUUCGGACUGUAGUCUGCAACCCGACUACACGAAGCUGGAAUCGCUAGUAAUCGCGAAUCAGAAUGUCGCGGUGAAUACGUUCCCGGGUCUUGUACACACCGCCCGUCACACCAUGGGAGUCGGGAAUGCCCGAAGUCAGUGACCCAACCUUUGGAGGGAGCUGCCGAAGGCAGGUCUGAUAACUGGGGUGAAGUCGUAACAAGGUAUC
rnacentral:rRNA from 1 species